UUAAGUUCAGCGGGUAUCCCUACCUGAUCCGAGGUCAAAGUAAAAAAGGGGGCUUAAUGGGAGGGGGUACGCUUGAAUCGUUUGCAAUGUGCUGCGCACGAAGCCAACAUACCGGCUGCCAAUGAAUUUAAGGCGAGUCCACGCGCAGAGGCGGAAACAAACACCCAACACCAAGCAGAGCUUGAAGGUUUAAAUGACGC
rnacentral:misc_RNA from 1 species